AUGCUUACCAGUGGAAUCAUCUGGGCUAAGAACAUGUACUCUAUUUUGAUCUCUCUACCAAAGAAGCUGCCACUGGAAGCCACUUCACUCUACACUGACGACCGUGCCAUCCUAUAUUCUACCAUUAUCUGUAUGAAUUGUUAUAUAAGAAGAGAUGCUGAAACAAAUUCAAGAGGAUCGAGAUGUGCUUAUGUUCUACCAUUUUGCUUUCAAGAGGGGAAGAUAAAGAGGAGGCAUGGUGAAGAGGAGAAGUGGAAGAAGGCCAUCAACUAUGCACCUACCGGCUCUUCCUCGCCUGGGUACUAA
rnacentral:rRNA from 1 species